CCUUCGGUAGUACAUGUCCAUGUCUCUCUUGGAGCAUAUAUUUGUUCAUUGAUUUUGAGAGCAUAUAUUUAUCGAUUGAUUUGUUAUUUUUCUCCUUGGUUUUGCAGGAGAGGUAAUCUACAUGCACACAAUUCCUCCGUGUUCUAUCUUCCUCUUGUUUGAUCUUUUAGUUUUUGUUUUCACAUUUUUUUCCCUGGUUACUUUGGUUUUGAUCUUGAAGUUGGCUGUUAUUUUAAUGAUCUGCAGCUACUAAUGAGUUGUUAGUUUUCACAAUAUUGAGACAAUAACUUUCUGUGUAAUAUCAAGCAAUCAGGUUUAUUUGGUACACUUCUUGCAAUGUGAAUUAUUUUCGAUUCAUUUUCUCUGGAGUUUUACAUUCUUUUAUUUUUCAAUAUUUCAUCGGUAUUGUUAUUCUUUUCAGGUUGAUUAUUUUGGGUUCUUGCUUCUGAGAUAUUAUUUGGUUGUUGUUGCAUUCAAACUUGGAGUUUUUUAAUGAUGAUACACUACGAUUAUAGAGUUCGUUAGGUUUUUAGUCGACUUGUUUUCUAAUUCCUCUUUGCGUCAAAUAUUAUUCUUCGAUUGAGUUCUAAUGUGAAUUUUCUUUUUAAUGUGUUUCAAUUUUGACAGCACACUUUGUUUUUAACCUGUAAUCUGGCACUGCAGAAAUUUACACGAUUCUGGAGAAAUUUUGACAGCUUUGUGGGGCUCUCUUUGUAAUUAUGACCUUUUAAUCAGUGACUUGGUUUGCCGAAUUAUUCUACUUUUCUUUAUUCUUGGUUUAUUCUACAACUAUUUGUCAUAGUAGUUUUGUUGUUCAUCUAUCUUCUUGUGUUCACGGUGCAAGUACCUAGAAGUCUCUAUCACACUGCACCUUGUUAAUUUUGUUGUGCUGCAGUUGGAGAUGAGUGCCUCUGUGCUUUGUACUACUUGUGUCCUGUGAGAUAUAAUUUUAUUAACAUUCCAUGUUUUUGGACUUUUGAUUAAAGGUUUUCUGCAAUGUGCUGCAUUCAUGGAAGUUAUACACGAUGCCAUUGGUGCCGAGCGGAGCAUUGUUUCCUCUUAUGCAAUGGACAAGAAGGGCUCAGUUUGUGGUUGUCAUUGUUCAGACUUUGAUGAAGUUUUAAUCUGUUCUACGGGUCACUUCACUUUCACUUCUUUAUGUUAUUGCCUUGAGUUUAUAUUGUUUAAUUUCAUGUGAAGCUUUUGUUUGUUUUUGCAAUUCAUUUGAUUCCUAACUCAGAAUUUUUGUUCUGUGCUUUCUCUUGGGCCAGGAGUUACCUUCUGUUUUUAUAACUAUUCUUGCAUGGAGUAUAGCCGAGGUGAUUUUUUUAUUGGAUUGGAUUCAUUUAUUUUUAGUAUGGUUCAUAUUCACCGAUAAGUAGACACACACUCGAGUCUGUCAUUACUCACUAAAAUGAUAAGUAUUAAGUUUAGAGGUGAUCAUUGCUUAAUAGAAUGAUCUUACAGAUCACGACAUAUAUCACAGAAAAUCAAAACAUUUGAAAACAAGAAAAUGCAAAUAACAAAGAGCACCUAAGAUAGAAAGCAAAUUAAGGAAAUUCAACCCCAUUUCAAUUAAAACUUAAGGGGAAUUUACACCUUAAUAAUCUGUGACAGGUAAUUGUUCAUAAGAGCUAGGGGUGAUGAAGAAAACAGAAGGCCCAACCAAUUAAAGGGCCGACCCAAUAAACCCAGUGAUUAGCCCUUUUCCAGCUAACAACAGAGGCCCAAAAGACACUGUUGGGUUCAUGGAAGCACCAUCAAAAGCCCCACCUGCCAAGAUGUUGGCUCGUACAAUAGACAUACACAAAUUAAUACUAAAAUUUAGCACAGAAAAUUUACUUGUAAUAACUAACAAGUUUGGUCUCUUAAACUAAAAUCUUUGAUCAAAUUAAAGAUUUUGAGUGGUCUUAUUAAUCUUCAAAAUUAAAACUAAUGUGAUCGAAUCUUUAAUUUUCGAUCGUAGUUUUUUAACCCAUUAACGUUCUAAGGUAUCCCCAAGGUUUAGGCUUUUCGGGUCCACUACAAGACUUAUUCUUGACUCGACAACUUGAACUUUAUUUCAGUAUCCAGAACCUGAGUAGUACUCUGUCACAAGGUACAACAUUCUGGAAUAACUCUUUUCCCUCCCUAGAUGAAAAUUUUUGGACAAUUUUGGUUACGUCAUAUGUGUUGUUUGCUCUGAUGAUUUGUUCGUUGGUGACAACUUAACUUUGUUCGGAGAGAUUUUCUCUAGUCUUCUUUUGCUUGUUUUUACUGUUAGUUGUGAUCUUUGAUGGUGACCAGAAUUUGCAAUUGGCUCUCUUCAUGUUUUUUGUUUGAGGAUGUAGUUUACUUGACUCAUUUGUUCGUUUCUGUGGAAGAGAUUAUCAAGGACAUAUUCUUGCUUUGGUGUUACAGGGGAGAGAGCCUGUGAAUGUUUUUGCUUGGUCAAUUUUCCUUGCAUCAACUUGGUGGGCCUCUCUUUGUACUACUUAUCCAAAUUGAUUUGAAGAAUUAUGCUACUAUUCCAUUGGGUGUGUCGAAUACUGAUCCACAUUGAUUUGAAGAAUUAUGCUACUUUUCCAUUGGGUGUGUCGAAUACUUCCAACUGUAAAAUGCUUAAAUUUGGUCAUUUCUACUAUGGCAUGGUUUAUUAUUUUUGGUUCCUGCUUUUGAGGUUUUGUUUGGUUUUUGUUGGUUUCAAACUUGGAGUUUACGGCUCUUGUUGGUUUCAAACUAUUAUUGAGUUUGUUAGGUUUUUCGUCGACUUAUUUUCUAGUUCAUCUUUUGUGUCAAAUAUUAUUCUUCCUUUCAUCCUUUGAGCAUGUACUCAUCAUCAGUGGUUUGCUUUUAAUAUUAUUUUUUUGCAGCACUUCUGAUGUGAAUUUUAUUUUUCGAUGUGUUACCAGUUUGGGAAGCACGCCUCGUUUUUAAUAUGUAAUCUGGAGAAAUUGGGACAGUUCUGUGGGACUCUUUGUAAUUAUGACCUUCUGAUCAGUGACUUGGUUUGGAGUAUUAUGCUACUUUUUCUUUCUGUUUUCUUGGUUUAUUCUACAACUAAUCGUCACAGUAAUUUUGUUGUGCAUGAAAAUGGAGAUUAGUGCCUUUGUGCUUUGUACUACCCGUGUCCUGUGAAAUAAUUAACAAGUACACAUGAACCAUCAUGUUUUACUGGAUGUGGUAUAUAGUUUCAACUGUGGCUGAGGUUAAUCUAACAAUCUGAUGAUUUCCAAUUGCCUCUGCGCUUUGUACUACUUCUGCAUCCUUUCUUCUCUCAUUCAUUCUUGGAAUAUAAUAGGUCUUUCUCUCCUAUGUGUGAGCUGGUGUUGAAGUUUUCGUGUCAUAAGGUUUCAGUAUCCAGAACCUCGGUACUACUCUGUCAUAAGUUUCUGUGGCAGAGAUUAUCAAGGACAUGUUCUUGCUUUGGUGCUACAGGGGAGAGAGCCUGUGAAUGUUUUUGCUCUGGUCAAUUUUCCUUGAACGCACUUGAUUCGGAAUACGUAAUCAUCAGGAUAGCUUCAGCUGUAUGUUGUACUCGUGUCCUGUGAAAUGAUUAAUAAGUGCACAUGAACCUCAUGUUUUGCUGGAUGUGGUAUAUAUUCUCAAUUGUGGCUGGCUUAAUCUGGCAAUCUGAUGAUUUUCAACUGCCUCUGCGCUUUUUUCUACUUCUGCAUGCAUGCUUCUCUCAUUCAUUCUUGGGAUAUAAUUGGUCUUUUUACUUACAUGUAUUUGUUCCCAAAUGAUAGUUCUUUGAUCGCGUGCAAGCUGGUGUUGAAGCUGUGCGUUUCAGUAUCCAGAACUUGAGUACUACUCUAUCAUAAGGUACAAGAUUCUGGAAUAACUCUUUUCCCUUCCCAGAUGAGAAAUUUUGGUUAUGUCAUAGGUGUUGUUUGCUCUGAUGAUUUAUUCGUUGGUGACAAUAGAUUCUUUUGCUAAUUUUUACUGUUAGUUGUGAUUUAUGAUGAUGAUGAUCCUAUAAAGAUAAUGUUUUCAUUACAGUGGCCUGGGACUCCUAUGUUUUAGGAGGAAGCCAAAAGUGUGUCAGAAAUGUGUAGUUUGUUGUGGAACCCAUGGCAGACAGGUUCACAUUGUUGUGGAAAUGUGUGGGAUAUAAUUGGUCUUUUCUUCUGGUUCUAUCUUUCUUUUGUUUGAUAUUCAUGGUUUGUAAUCUUAUUUUUUUCUUGUCUUUUGAUCCUCAUGUUUGUUUUGUAAUCUUAUUUUUUUUUGGUCUUUUGAUUUGGUUCUGGCUUUGACCGCCAUAUGUGAAUUGAAAUAUGACGUUGUUUUCUGCAGUGUAGUGUCUUUUGAAACAAUAACAUUCUAAGUAGUAUCGAGCCUCGGGUUUAUUUUGCUACCAUGUACUUGGGUUGUGAAUUAUUUUCAUUUCUAUAUUGUCUAGUCGAUUUAUUUCUUUGAUCUACAUUUGGCUUUUUGAUCUGAAUUCUGACAGUGCAAAAGUUUACAUGAUUCUUGAGGAGUUGGGAUAACUUGGUGGUCCUCUCUUUGUAAUGUUGAUCUGCAACUUGGUUUGAAGAAUUAUGCUACUAUUCUUCUUCUUUAUUUUUCUACAACCUAUUUUCACAGCGUAAUUGUUCUGUUAAUGUAUCAUGUGGUAUUGGCAGAGCAAAUUUUACAUGGGUUUGGUGUGUUACAAAAGUCUUCAUCUUUUGCAAUCAACCUACACCUUUUCAAUUAGCUUCAUGGAAUGUAGAACAUUGGAGAUGAGUUUCUUUGCCGCUUUUCUGUGAACAAAUUAACAAGGACACAUGAAUCAUUAUUUUUUAUGGUCGUGUUAUAUAAUUGCUAGGCUUUAAUUUGGGGUUCUCUUCUCGGAAUAUGAAUUAUUUACAUUUCAUUAUGUCCAUUUCAGCAUCCCCGCUUCUCGAUUCCAUUGUGAAAGCUUAGAGAGAGGUUAUCACAAACUACCUUUAGUUUUGCAUUUUUUCUAGUGUUGAAGUUUUUGUGUUUCUAUCCGGAACUUCAGUUUUACUCUGUGGUUUUGCAUACAAGCUUCCGGAGUAACUCUUCCCUUCCCAAGGAUGAGGAGUUUUGGUCAACUUGGUUAGGUGUUUGUUAUGAUUAUUUGUUUGUUGGGGAUAAAUUGGCUAAGGGAGAGAUGAUAUUCUUCUAGUGUUAUUUUCGUUGUUAUUUUGUAUUUAUGAUGUGUACUCCUAAAAUGAUAUCGUCAUUGUUACAGUGGCUGGCUCUAGGAAUUAUCUGGUAUUGCAUGUGGCAAGAUAUAAUCGGUAAUUUGGUCUGUGGCAGGCAAGCAGAGGUUGACAUACUAAUACUAUCCAUUGAAUUCAGCCUUGAGAUAAAACAUAAAUUUCAUAACGGGAAGCCUAAAAAAUUGUCAUUUCACAUGGAGCUUUGCAAUUAACUGUGGCAUAUAUUUCACAUUGUUAUAUUUUGAAGCAUUUGGUGAUUUCUAUUUUGACUAUGAAUUCUUCAUGUUUCUGUCUCUUGAAUUUAGUUUUCUUAACCUACUUUCCAUUCAAUUCAGCUUUGGGAUCUUUCAUGGUUUUACGUAAUAUUUGCUGCAUCUUGCUAGUCUUGGUGAUUUUGUGAUUUUGUAUUUUAUUCUACAACUAUUUGUCAUAGUAGUUUUGUUGUUCAUGUAUCUUCUUGUGUUCACAGUGCAAGUACCUAGAAGUCUCUAUCACACUGCACCUUGUUAAUUUUGUUGUGCUGCAGUUGGAGAUGAGUGCCUUUGUGCUUUGUACUACUUGUGUCCUGUGAAAUAUAAUUUUAUUAACAUUCCAUGUUUUUUGACUUUUGAUUAAAGGUUUUCUGCAAUGUGCUGCACUCAUAGAAGUUAUACACGGUGCCAUUGGUGCUGAGCGGAGCAUUGUUUCCUCUGAUGCAAUGGACAGGAAGGGCUCAGUUUGUGGUUGUCAUUGUUCAAACUAUUGAUGAGGAGUUACCUUCUUUUUUUAUAACUUUUCUUGCAUGGAGUAUAGCCGAGGUAAUGUUUUUAUUCGAUUGGAUUCAUUUAUGUUGAGUAUGGUUCUUAUUCACCGAUAUGUAGACACACACUCAAGCCUGUUUUUUAAGAGCCAUGAUUGCUACUUGAACAAUUUAAUUACUACCAUGACCUUGCUGUUUAAAUUAUUAUAAGAUCUCGUCGAACAAUUUAUGCUAUGUAUUAAGUU